UACGUAGGGGGCAAGCGUUGUCCGGAUUUAUUGGGCGUAAAGAGCGUGUAGGCGGCUUCACAGGUCCGCUGUGAAAACUCGAGGCUCAACCUCGAGCUGUCGGUGGAAACCGUGUGGCUAGAGUCCGGAAGAGGAGAGUGGAAUUCCCGGUGUAGCGGUGAAAUGCGCAGAUAUCAGGAAGAACACCCGUGGCUAAGGCGGCUCUCUAGUACGGUACUGACGCUGAGACGCGAAAGCGUGGGGAGCGAACAGG
rnacentral:rRNA from 1 species